UUACCCAAAGUGACCAAGCAAGAUCACUACCGAGACAGCUGAUGUUGUCAUGAGUACCCAAAACAUAACCACACCUACAGAGCUUUAAAAGCAAAUGCUGUCCUUCUGAAAGUAACUCUAGACUAGAAAUAAUGAUUCAUUCUCCUCCUCUGUGGACUGUUCCCACCCCUCUCUGAAGAACAUGUUGAACUUCAGUAAGACAGAAUUGUGAGUUGGAAAGGAACUGAAUUCCUGACUUGAUCCUACCAUGAGUACCAAGCUCUUCUGGUCUGUCAUCAUUUAUUUCCUGGGAACAGGUCCCAUGGAUGCUAAGAAUGCAAGAAUUACCCAGAGCCCAAGACACAUAGUCACAAGAAUGGGACAGAAAGUGACACUAAGAUGUGAACAGAAUUUGGGCCAUAAUUACAUGUAUUGGUAUAGACAAGAUCUGGGCCAAGGACUCCAACUCAUUUAUUACUCUACAUCUGAAAAAAACUUUCAGGAAGGAGACAUUCCUGAGGGAUACAACGCCGCUCGAGAAAAGCCAGAGCUUUUUUCUCUUACUCUGCCAUCAUCCAGAAUCAACCAAACAUCAUUGUAUCUCUGUGCUAGCAGUAGAGACACAGUAAGGCAAAGUUCCAUGGAUGCCAAAGAUGCCAGAAUCAUCCAAACUCCAAGAAAUCUAAUCACAGGAAUAGGACAGACUGUGCACCGAAUUGUGAAGAGAAUUUGGGACCUGAACGCAUGUACUGGUACCGCCAGGACCAGGGCCAGGAGCUUCAGCUCAUUUAUUUCUCCAUAACAAGAGGAAACAAAGAGAAAGGAGACAUUUCUGAGGGAUACGAUGUCUCUCGGGAAAAGGAGACAUUUGAUCUCAUUCUACGGUCAUCCAGAACCACACAAACAUCUUUUUAUCUCUGUGCCAGCAGCAGACACAAUAAGGCAAAGUUAGCUCUUCUCCAUGCAGAAACCUCUUUCAUCUCUUACUGCAACUAUGAGGUGUUGAAUUUUCCUGGCACUUGCUACCCUUCCCCCAACACAGGAAACUAUUACUACUUUGAGAAAACUAUGAGCUAAACCACUCUUAUAGUAUUUAUCACAUACUGGCAUGAAUUGCAGAUCCUUUGAAUAUGUCACAUAUCACUUAAUGGGCCAUGAAAUCCUUGAAAGUAACUUUGUGUGUUGUUCAGUCAUUUCAGUCACGUCCAACUCUGUUUGACCCCAUUUUAAGGCUGUCUUGGCA